rnacentral:sRNA from 1 species
GUGCUGUUCAAUAGCGGCACCGGGUUUGGCGACCCGACGGAUAAGGCGGACAGCCGCGAUUUGCGGCUAUUUU